GUAGAACCCUUUUCUCAGGCAAAACCUAACAUCUGACCGCACCCUUUUUGCUAUUAAAAAAAAAAAAAAGCUUCUAUUUUUUUCCUCCUGUCGUUAAGAUAAAUUCUCCAGUAGACAACCUCUCCCACUAAUUGUGUAUUAGCAACGUAUUUUAUCUUGAGAGCUUGUACACUGGGCUCUCAACGUGGUGUGGAAGGUAGCCUGUUACAGUGCUGGAUUCAUAAAAGGGCCUUUAUGGUUUGUGAAAGAAUAUCUGUGUGCUUAGGGAGGAAACUUUUUGAUCUGCAGAAAAGCCAGAAGACAUCUAGGACAUCCAUAAAAAUUCAUCAGAGAGCAUUUUACUACUGAGCUGCAAAGAUGACAAGAGCACCUCAAAGGCAGCAGCCUCAAGGAGCAGCCAUGGCCCCAGACUUGUCGCACGGAUGCAGAAAACUUAAUGGAGGAGGCUGAGUCAAAUCAGGAGCUUUAGAAAAUACUGAUGCCUGGCUCUCAACCAGAGAGAACUGAACUGAAUUGGUCUGGUGAAUUCAUUAAAAGAGCUAACAACAAUGAAGUUAAUGUACGCAUCUCACCUCUCAAGAGUAUUAACAGGCCAGGCGUGUUGGCUCAUACCUGUAAUCCCAGCACUUUGGGAGGCCAAGGCGGGCGGAUCACCCAAGAAUGGGAUAACUGCCUGGCACUCACCAAGCUACACUUGAAGAGGAUCAAUCCAUGUCAUCAUGUCCCCAAUUUCAUAGCACCAAGUAUUUUGUUUAUUCACAAAUGCCCUAUUAUGGACAUCUAGCAAACAAUGAUACAUCAGAAAAGGAGAUGUGCAUAAAUUUUCAUGGAAUAAGGUUGUGGAAAAUGCACUAGAAUCAACAAACAUGGGGACUAAUUCAACUCGGAUAUCAUGUCUUCAGAGAAGUUUCUCCUGCCCUCCUCUCCCUGUAGAAUUAAGUAUUCUUCCACUGUGCCACCCUCUAACUUGUGCUCAUAUCUUCCUCUAUUGUAGUUAUGUGUUCACAUCCCUGUUGUUUUUGUACCGGCUUCUCCCAAAGGGAGACAUUUAGUCUUAUUCUUCUUGGUAACUUUAGCACAGACCUGGCAGAUUGUUGACACUCAACAAAUGUUUAUUGACUCAAAUGCAUUCAGUUGAACAUUGACCUUUGAUCAACUCUGGGAAAAGUCUGCAAAGCUAGUUAGGACAUUCAGAAAUUCAUUUCAUUUCAAUCCUAACUAAAUAAAUUAUUGAAGUCUCAGAA
rnacentral:lncRNA from 1 species